AUGACGAUGCUGAUGGGCAGGUUGGCCGGCGUAGCGCUGGAGCUGGCUCUCGCCGCGCUGCUCCUGCUCUUCCUCCCGCCCUACUACGUCUACAGGUUCACCGCCUCCUUCCUCGGCUCCGUCUUCCCCGACAACGUCUCCGGCAAGGUCGUCCUCAUCACCGGCGCCUCCUCCGGCAUAGGCGAGCACCUGGCGUAUGAGUACGCGAAGAGAGGAGCCAACCUGGCGCUCGUGGCGAGAAGGGAGGCGAGCCUCCGGGAGGUCACCGACAACGCGUCGGCGCUCGGCUCACCCAGCGUCCUUGUCUUGCCGGCUGACGUCUCCAAGCCCGACGACUGCCUAAAGUUCAUCGACGACACGGUUGCCUACUUCGGAAGAUUGGACCACUUGGUGAACAACGCGUCGAUUUGGCAGGUCUGCAAGUUCGAAGAGGUGGAGGACGUGAGCUACUUCAGAACACUGAUGGACAUCAACUUCUGGGGUCAUGUGUACCCAACUCGCUAUGCCAUUCCUCACCUGAAGAAAACCCAUGGCCGGAUCGUUGGUGUCACCUCCAACUCCUCCUACAUAUUCAUCGGAAGGAACACCUUCUACAAUGCGAGCAAAGCAGCGGCGCUAAAUUUUUACAACACGCUCCGGAUGGAGCUUGGCGGGGACGUCCGCAUUACAGAGAUCGUCCCAGGGGUGGUCGAGUCAGAGAUCACAAAGGGGAAGAUGCUCACCAAGGAAGGAGAGAUGAAAGUUGACCAAGACGAAAGAGAUGCGAUCCUUGGGCCAACACCGGCAGAGCCUGUCGCCGCUUUCGCAAAGACGGCGGUGAAGGAUGUGUGCCGGGGGGAGAGGUACGUGUUCGAGCCGAGGUGGUACUUGGCGGUGUACCUGUUCAGGGUCUGCUUCCCAGAGAUCCUGGCCUGGAGCUCCCGGCUCCUGACCGUGAAGACACUGGGGCGCCCUGCAACGACCGACACUGUGGGAAGACAGAUCCUCGACAUGCCCGGGGUGCGCUGGUUCACCCAAACGGCCUCGCUGCGGUCGCCGGAGAUUCAGGCCAGGUGA
rnacentral:rRNA from 1 species